rnacentral:rRNA from 1 species
AGUGAACGCUGGCGGCGUGCCUAAUACAUGCAAGUCGAACGAACGAAUAAGAGCUUGCUCUUAUAAGUUAGUGGCGCACGGGUGAGUAAUAUAUAGCUAAUCUGCCUCUUAGUAGAGGAUAACAGUCGGAAACGAUUGCUAAUACUCUAUACUUCUGCUUUACAUAAGUAAAGUAGAGAAAGUUUUUCGCUAAGAGAUGAGGCUAUACUGUAUCAGCUAGUUGGUAAGGUAACGGCUUACCAAGGCUAUGACGCAUAACUGGUCUGGGAGGAUGAUCAGUCACAUUGGAACUGAGACACGGUCCAAACUCCUACGGGAGGCAGCAGUAGGGAAUAUUGCGCAAUGGGGGCAACCCUGACGCAGCAACGCCGCGUGGAGGAUGACACUUUUCGGAGCGUAAACUCCUUUUAUCGGGAAAGAAUAAUGACGGUACCCGAUGAAUAAGCACCGGCUAACUCCGUG